rnacentral:rRNA from 1 species
GAUGAACGCUGGCGGCGUGCCUAAUACAUGCAAGUCGAGCGAAUGGAUUAAGAGCUUGCUCUUAUGAAGUUAGCGGCGGACGGGUGAGUAACACGUGGGUAACCUGCCCAUAAGACUGGGAUAACUCCGGGAAACCGGGGCUAAUACCGGAUAACAUUUUGAACCGCAUGGCUCGAAAGUGAAAGGCGGCUUCGGCUGUCACUUAUGGAUCGACCCGCGUCGCAUUAGCUAGUUGGUGAGGUAACGGCUCACCAAGGCAACGAUGCGUAGCCGACCUGAGAGGGUGAUCGGCCACACUGGGACUGAGACACGGCCCAGACUCCUACGGGAGGCAGCAGUAGGGAAUCUUCCGCAAUGGACGAAAGUCUGACGGAGCAACGCCGCGUGAGUGAUGAAGGCUUUCGGGUCGUAAAACUCUGUUGUUAGGGAAGAACAAGUGCUAGUUGAAUAAGCUGGCACCUUGACGGUACCUAACCAGAAAGCCACGGCUAACUACGUGCCAGCCGCCGCGGUAA